rnacentral:rRNA from 1 species
UACGGGAGGGUGCGAGCGUUAUCCGGAUUCACUGGGUUUAAAGGGUGCGUAGGUGGGAAUGUAAGUCAGUGGUGAAAUCUCUGAGCUUAACUCAGAAACUGCCAUUGAUACUAUAGAUCUUGAAUAUCCUGGAGGUGAGCGGAAUAUGUCAUGUAGCGGUGAAAUGCUUAGAUAUGACAUAGAACACCAAUUGCGAAGGCAGCUCACUACGGGAUUAUUGACACUGAGGCACGAAAGCGUGGGGAUCAAACAG